UUAGUAACGGCGAGUGAACCGGGAUGAGCUCAAAUUUAAAAUCUGGCGUCUUUCAGGCGUCCGAGUUGUAAUCUAUAGAGGCGUUUUCCGCGCCGGACCGCGUCCAAGUCUCUUGGAAUAGAGUAUCAAAGAGGGUGACAAUCCCGUACUUGACGCGACAACCGGUGCUCUGUGAUACGUUCUCAAUGAGUCGAGUUGUUUGGGAAUGCAGCUCUAAAUGGGUGGUAAAUUCCAUCUAAGGCUAAAUAUUGGCGAGAGACCGAUAGCGAACAAGUACCGUGAGGGAAAGAUGAAAAGCACUUUGGAAAGAGAGUUAAACAGCACGUGAAAUUGUUAAAAGGGAAACGAUUGAAGUCAGUCGUGUGAAAGGUAUUCAGCCGUCUCUGGCGGUGUAUUUGCCUUUCACGGGUCAACAUCAGUUUGAUCCGGUAGAAAAAGGCGGGAGGAAGGUGGCACCCUCGGGUGUGUUAUAGCCUCCUGUCAUAUGUGCCGGACCAGACUGAGGAACGCAGCUUGCCGCAAGGCCGGGGUUCGCCCACGUACAAGCUUAGGA
rnacentral:rRNA from 1 species